rnacentral:rRNA from 1 species
AAUCAACGCUGGCGGCGUGCCUAACACAUGCAAGUCGAACGCGAAAGCCCCUUCGGGGGUAAGUAGAGUGGCGUCCGGGUGAGUAACACGUAGGUAAUCUACCUUCGGGUGGGGAAUAACCAGUCGAAAGAUUGGCUAAUACCGCAUAAUGCAGCGGCACCUAAUGGUGAUUAGUUGUUAAAGCGGGGGAUCGUAAGACCUCGCGUCUGAAGAGGAGCCUGCGGCGGAUUAGCUAGUUGGUAAGGAAUGGCUUACCAAGGCGACGAUCCGUAACCGGCCUGAGAGGGCGGUCGGUCACACUGACACUGACAUACGGGUCAGACUCCUACGGGAGGCGGCAGUCGGGAAUUUUGGGCAAUGGGCGAAAGCCUGACCCAGCAACGCCGCGUGAAGGAUGAAAUCCCUCGGGAUGUAAACUUCGC